AGAGUUUGAUCCUGGCUCAGGAUGAACGCUAGCUACAGGCUUAACACAUGCAAGUCGAGGGGAAACGAUAUUGGAAGCUUGCUUCCGAUAGGCGUCGACCGGCGCACGGGUGAGUAACGCGUAUCCAACCUGCCCAUCACUUGGGGAUAACCUUGCGAAAGUAAGACUAAUACCCAAUGAUAUCUCUAGAAGACAUCUGAAAGAGAUUAAAGAUUUAUCGGUGAUGGAUGGGGAUGCGUCUGAUUAGCUUGUUGGCGGGGUAACGGCCCACCAAGGCAACGAUCAGUAGGGGUUCUGAGAGGAAGGUCCCCCACAUUGGAACUGAGACACGGUCCAAACUCCUACGGGAGGCAGCAGUGAGGAAUAUUGGUCAAUGGGCGAGAGCCUGAACCAGCCAAGUAGCGUGCAGGAAGACGGCCCUAUGGGUUGUAAACUGCUUUUAUAAGGGAAUAAAGUGAGUCUCGUGAGACUUUUUGCAUGUACCUUAUGAAUAAGGACCGGCUAAUUCCGUGCCAGCAGCCGCGGUAAUACGGAAGGUCCGGGCGUUAUCCGGAUUUAUUGGGUUUAAAGGGAGCGUAGGCCGGAGAUUAAGCGUGUUGUGAAAUGUAGAUGCUCAACAUCUGAACUGCAGCGCGAACUGGUUUCCUUGAGUACGCACAAAGUGGGCGGAAUUCGUGGUGUAGCGGUGAAAUGCUUAGAUAUCACGAAGAACUCCGAUUGCGAAGGCAGCUCACUGGAGCGCAACUGACGCUGAAGCUCGAAAGUGCGGGUAUCGAACAGGAUUAGAUACCCUGGUAGUCCGCACGGUAAACGAUGGAUGCCCGCUGUUGGUCUGAAUAGGUCAGCGGCCAAGCGAAAGCAUUAAGCAUCCCACCUGGGGAGUACGCCGGCAACGGUGAAACUCAAAGGAAUUGACGGGGGCCCGCACAAGCGGAGGAACAUGUGGUUUAA
rnacentral:rRNA from 1 species